UGGGUAGAGGUGAAAAGCCUAACGAGCCUGGUGAUAGCUGGUUACCCAAUAAAGAAUUUUAGUUCAACUUUAAGCCUACCAUAAAUUCUACUAACACAAAUCUAAGCUUAAAAUAUAGCCUAAAGAGGGACAGCUCUUUAGGAAUGGAAACAACCUCAGAUAGUGAAUAAGACAACUAAUCAAUUAACCAUGGUUGGCUUAAAAGCAGCCAUCAAUAAAGAAAGAGUUCAAGCUCAACACUUAAUAACACCUAAUACCCUAAAUCAAAUCUAUUUCCUAUUUUUAUAAGUGGGUUAAUCUAUUAAUCAAUAGAAGCAAUACUGUUAGUAUGAGUAACAAGAAUAUUAUUCUCCACACACAAGCCUAUAACAACCCAGAUAACCAUUGUUAGUUAACAAGCUAUAAGUACAUUAACUAUUUGUAAAAAGUACUUAUCAUCUAAUGUUAAUCCAACACAGGUGUGCUAAAAGGAAAGAUUAAAAGAAAUAAAAGGAACUCGGCAAACACAAAUCCCACCUGUUUACCAAAAACAUAACCUCUAGCAUUACAAGUAUUAGAGGCAAUGCCUGCCCAGUGACUAAGUUUAAUGGCCACGGUAUCCUGACCGUGCAAAGGUAGCAUAAUCACUUGUUCCUUAAUUAGGGACUAGUAUGAAUGGCUAAACGAGGAUUUAACUGUCUCUUAUUUCCAAUCAGUGAAAUUGACCUUCCAGUGAAGAGGCGGGGAUAUAACAAUAAGACGAGAAGACCCUAUGGAGCUUUAACCGUAUAAUUUAAUUUUAACAACAAACAGUCUACUGACUACAAAACAUUAAAUAUAAAUUAUAAGUUUCGGCUGGGGUGACCUCAGAGAACAAAAAAAACCUCCGAACGAUUAUAACCUAGGCCAACAAGCCAAAGUAUCAAUAAUCUUAUUGACCCAAACUAAUUUGAUCAACGGACCAAGUUACCCUAGGGAUAACAGCACAAUCCUAUUCAAGAAUCCACAUCGACAAUUAGGGUUUACGACCUUGAUGUUGGAUCAGGACAUCCCAAUGGUGUAGCAGCUAUUAAAGGUUCAUUUGUUCAACGAUUAAAGUCCUACGUGAUCUGAGUUCAGACCGGAGUAAUCCAGGUCGGUUUCUAUCUAUUUACAAUUUCUCCCAGUACAAAAGGACAAGAGAAAUGGGGCCUCCUUAAUAUAAGCGCCCCUAAUUAAUUAAUGAAACCAUCUCAAUAUAGUAAAUCCAUACUAUAUUUACCCUAGACAAGGGUUUAUUAGGGUGGCAGAGCCCG
rnacentral:ncRNA from 1 species